rnacentral:rRNA from 1 species
CGAAAUGCGCUAAUUACUGUGAAUUNCCGAAUUCAGUGAAUCAUCGAAUCUUUGAACGCACCUUGCG